rfam:Lepisosteus oculatus linkage group LG4, whole genome shotgun sequence.
UUAAACAGCCGAAUCGCCCUGCAACUCACAGCUGGUAGCCCACUGAAGUGCAGCAGGUGUGAGCCUGGUCAGUACCUGGAUGGGAGACCUCUUGGGAAAAACUAGGGUUGCUGCUGGAA